CAGUGGCGCACGGGUGAGUAACACGUGACUUAUCUACCCUCGAGUGGGGAAUAACUUCGGGAAACCGAGGCUAAUACCGCAUAAUACCCACGGGUCAAAGGAGCAAUUCGCUUGAGGAGGAGGUCGCGGCCGAUUAGUUAGUUGCGGGGUAAUGGCCCCACCCAAGACGGUGAUCGGUAUCCGGCCUGAGAGGGCGCACGGACACACUGGAACUGAAACACGGUCCAGACUCCUACGGGACCGGCAGCAGUGGGGAAUUUUGCGCAAUGGGGGAAACCCUGACGCAGCAACGCCGCGUGGAGGAUGAAGUCUCUUGGGACGUAAACUCCUUUCGAUCGGGACGAUUAUGACGGUACCGGAAGAAGAAGCCCCGGCUAACUUCGUG
rnacentral:rRNA from 1 species